UGCCAGCAGCCGCGGUAAUACGUAGGUCCCGAGCGUUGUCCGGAUUUAUUGGGCGUAAAGCGAGCGCAGGUGGUUUAUUAAGUCUGGUGUAAAAGGCAGUGGCUCAACCAUUGUAUGCAUUGGAAACUGGUAGACUUGAGUGCAGGAGAGGAGAGUGGAAUUCCAUGUGUAGUGGUGAAAUGCGUAGAUAUAUGGAGGAACACCGGUGGUGAAAGCGGCUCUCUGGCCUGUAACUGACACUGAGGCUCGAAAGCGUGGGGAGCAAACAGGAUUAGAUACCCUGGUAGUCCACGCCGUAAACGAUGAGUGCUAGAUGUAGGGAGCUAUAAGUUCUCUGUAUCGCAGCUAACGCAAUAAGCACUCCGCCUGGGGAGUACGACCGCAAGGUUGAAACUCAAAGGAAUUGACGGGGGCCCGCACAAG
rnacentral:rRNA from 1 species